rnacentral:lncRNA from 1 species
UCGAAACUUCAGUCGGAGGAACAAAAUCGACACCUCGACCUACCAAAAGGACAUCAAAGAACAUACUCAUCAACGAUAAGCAACUCUCGUCUCGAGCAUGUUCACGAGUCUUCCAGCUUCUUCGGUUGCCUUUCUAGUUACCAGGACUCAUCUUGUCGGACGAGGAGUCCGAGUUUGCUGUCCGUCUGCGUUCGACGACGCGUGCCCAGUGACGAGAACUUGCACGACCUGUGCCGGCAGCCACCAAUCCCGCGCUGGCCCCGCAGGUUCGUGCACCUGCCCCCUACCCCCACUACCACUACCCCCCGUUUCAAGACUGCACCUUCUUCGCUCACAAACCACCAUCGCUGUAUUCCGACCCCAACUACUACUGGGUCACCGACGAGGAAAUCAUUCGGAUGGAACGACCGGUGCAUUCUGUCUGUUCGGAGGACUUCUCGGGAAGUGGCUACGACAGUUAUCCCCGUCGAUCCAAGAGAAAGCCUCACUUCAUGAGUUACAGCUCCGAGUACCUCCACGGAGGGGGAAGUGCGGGGGUGGUGGUGUCAGACUCGAGUCCUGCACCCCGUGCCCCCCGUGUCCGGCGCACUCCCCCCUCCCCCCACCACCCCCGCCCCCGCCUCCCCUGCCGCCCAGCCAGCCGAUUGUUCAACCUCCUAGGUAAGUUAAUUUUUCAGUAAAAGCAAAUGGACGGUGAGACAAAAA